rnacentral:rRNA from 1 species
UACAGAGGGGGCAAGCGUUAUUCGGAAUUAUUGGGCGUAAAGGGCGCGUAGGCGGCUGUACAAGUCAAAGGUGAAAUCCCUCGGCUCAACUGAGGAACUGCCUUUGAAACUGUACGGCUUGAGGCCGGGAGGGGGUAGCGGAAUUCCCAGUGUAGAGGUGAAAUUCGUAGAUAUUAGGAAGAACACCAGUGGCGAAGGCGGCUCACUGGCCCCGGUACUGACGCUGAGGCGCGAAAGCGUGG